CAUCUCUCAUGAGGAGACACAUCCUGCUGCCUUGUCACAGUUGCCUCAGGAGUAAGGGAUCGAGACCCAUCUGGCAUGACGAAUAAACCCGGACUCUCAGCAAUGCAGAGAAAGAAAAAGUCUACAAAUAAAUACAGUGGCAACCAGGUAACUCUGAGCACAGACCAAACUUCAUCGUGAGUACUCCUAACCAAGUCAGAACUAUUCUUAACCAAAAGGACUCAAGGCCUCCUAGCACAAACU
rnacentral:lncRNA from 10 species